ACACGACUACAUUAGAUACCCGCGUAGUCCUAGCCGUAAACGAUACUCGCUAGGUGUCGGCCACGGUGCGACCGUUGUCGGUGCCGUAGGGAAGCCGUGAAGCGAGCCACCUGGGAAGUACGGCCGCAAGGCUGAAACUUAAAGGAAUUGGCGGGGGAGCACAACAACGGGUGGAGCUUGCGGUUCAAUUGGAUUCAACGCCGGAAAUCUUACCGGGACCGACAGCAACAUGAAGGCCAAGCUGAAGACUUUGCCGGAUUUAGCUG
rnacentral:rRNA from 1 species